rnacentral:lncRNA from 1 species
AUGAUACUGUGGCCAUGGCAACUCACAGAAUCCACCAAUGAAGAGCUGCGAUCAGCACAAGUAGAUGAAGUAUUACUGGGAAAAUCCUUUCCCACCUGCCCCCAACCAGAGAGAUAUUCCUUAAGACAAAGGAUGAAAAAGAAAGGGAAAAAAAGACCCAGUUCAUCAAAGCAAAAUAACACAUCAACCAAGACUGGUAUGAAAUGCAGUGUUUCACACCCACAAUCCCCAAUUUCUGCAAAGUGGGCUGGGAGGCACAUUAUUCUAUAUCUUUUUCAUGGCCAAGUUUGGUCACUGUAUGCACACAGCAUUCGGUUUUAAUUUUUUAUUUGUUUAUUCUUUCCAUCAACAUCAUUGUAGUCAUCAUGCAUUUUGUUUUUCUUCAUUCUGCUUACUUUGCUUUGUAUCAGUUCAUAUAAGUCUGUCCAUGCUUCUCUUGCUUUCUUCCUCUUCAUGGUUUCUUAUAGUUCUAUAAUAGCAUUCCAUUAUGUUCUUAAACCAAUGGCUAGUUUAGAAACACCUCAAUUUAUGGGCAUCUCCUUUGUUUCUAAUUCUUUAGUGCUCCUUUUUUUCUAUCAUUUUUAGUAAAAAGAAUUGAACAAGUUUCUUUAUGUCUUUGCUCAUGGCUUCUAAUGCCAGAUUAAGUUAUCCCAAGCAAACUCCUUGACCUUACCUAGACCAAGUAUUUCAGAGCUUUCAUGUAUAAAAAAAAAUUAUACUUGUUUUACUUGGCUCCAAAGGAGAGAACUAGAAAUAACAGAUUAUUUUGACAUUCGAUUAGGCUAAUCUUUAUAUGGAUCAGAUUGCCUUUACUUAAAUAUUUGUAAAAUGAGUGAAUGUGUAUAAGACUUUAAAGCCUUUGAUAAACCAGGCUAGGGGUAGGGGUUAGUCCUAUGAUUUUAUUGGUAUAGGGAACUCUCAGAUAAAGAAACUCCCCUAUCUAUGAAGGUUAGAGAAUUGUUUAAAGCAUUGAGAAGUGACUUGCCCAGGACUACACAGUCACUAUACAUCAGUAUAUAUAUCAGCAUAUAUGCCUUCUUGAUUUUAAUGGCAGCUCUCUGCACACUGUGCCCUUGAUAGAUUUGGUACAAAUAUGGAAAGAACUAAGAAUAUUUGCAUAAUUUGACUCCCGGACAAAGAGUCAUUUGGAGUUGAUACGAAGGCCAUGUAGACUGGGUGUGAUUGGAGAAGUCACUUAGUAUUCAAAUAAGUUUUCAUUUUCCCUAAGUCUUGGUUUAUAAAUCAUAAAAAUUGAGUGUAAUAUCUUUUUUGUCUGGUUAUCUUCCCAAUGAUUACAGGUCUUUAACUUUCCCUUCUCUUAGGGACCAUUUAGCUACUAGAUUUAAUCACAGAAUUGUACAUAAAUUUCUGCCCAUAUUCCCAGGGGCUUUGGGGGACAGAAAGUUUUUAAUAAAAGUGAAAAUUCUAUCUGAAUUUGUGACCUC